GAUGAACGCUGGCGGCGUGCCUAAUACAUGCAAGUCGAGCGAACAGACGAGGAGCUUGCUCCUCUGACGUUAGCGGCGGACGGGUGAGUAACACGUGGAUAACCUACCUAUAAGACUGGGAUAACUUCGGGAAACCGGAGCUAAUACCGGAUAAUAUAUUGAACCGCAUGGUUCAAUAGUGAAAGACGGUUUUGCUGUCACUUAUAGAUGGAUCCGCGCCGCAUUAGCUAGUUGGUAAGGUAACGGCUUACCAAGGUAACGAUGCGUAGCCGACCUGAGAGGGUAAUCGGCCACACUGGAACUGAGACACGGUCCAGACUCCUACGGGAGGCAGCAGUAGGGAAUCUUCCGCAAUGGGCGAAAGCCUGACGGAGCAACGCCGCGUGAGUGAUGAAGGUCUUCGGAUCGUAAAACUCUGUUAUUAGGGAAGAACAAAUGUGUAAGUAACUAUGCACGUCUUGACGGUACCUAAUCAGAAAGCCACGGCUAACUACGUG
rnacentral:rRNA from 1 species